CGAGUCCUCCCCGGGCCGCGUCUCCUGCCGGGGCGGUGGAGCCCAGCGCAGCUCGCGGGGGUGGGGCGGGGAGGGCGAGGCAGCGGGGACUCGGGCUCGGGACUCCCGGCCUUCGGCUGCAGGGACGCUGCCCUGCCGUCGCGCAGGGUCGGUGCCGCGGGGCCGCGCGGGGAAAGACGCAGCCUCUGAGAUUUCCGACGUAUUUCUCCUUCUACCGGGAGCUGCCGAAGCCCUAAGAAUGAGGCCCGGGGACUGGGGUCGGAACCAGGCAGGGAUUCCGCCCCAGGGGCUGAAAGGAUGCUCCGGGCUCUGGUGCCUGCAGGUGAGAAAACUAAGAUGGUAGAACCAGGAUUCCAACCUGACGUCUGACUCCAGAGCCCGCCUUCUUAAUCGUCCACCGUUCUUCCUCUUGCUGCUAUCACCUCAGUGCUCUCACCUACGGGAUUCUGCGUGCAGUCAUCCAACCGGCCGAUUCGAAAGAGGAACACCAAGGCUUCGUAUUCACAAUUACAUUC